GUGCGGGGACGCUGUCUACGCACCCCCGCGCCAUCUGUCGGGAGCCGUCCGUUACGGCACGGGACGGCACAGAUGAGAGGA
rnacentral:ncRNA from 1 species